CGGCAACAAUUGAGUGGUGGCCGAAAUGGGCGAGAAAUCGAGGAUUCCGGUGGCGGAAAUUGACAAACACAAAAAUAGCUGACCGCCACAGUGGGGCACUUGAGUUCAAACAUGUCUGUUUCAAGAGCCAGGAAGAACACCGCUUUUUGU
ensembl:ncRNA K12G11.9 ncRNA